rnacentral:rRNA from 1 species
GAUGAACGCUGGCGGCGUGCCUAAUACAUGCAAGUCGAGCGAACAGACGAGGAGCUUGCUCCUCUGACGUUAGCGGCGGACGGGUGAGUAACACGUGGAUAACCUACCUAUAAGACUGGGAUAACUUCGGGAAACCGGAGCUAAUACCGGAUAAUAUAUUGAACCGCAUGGUUCAAUAGUGAAAGACGGUUUUGCUGUCACUUAUAGAUGGAUCCGCGCCGCAUUAGCUAGUUGGUAAGGUAACGGCUUACCAAGGCAACGAUGCGUAGCCGACCUGAGAGGGUGAUCGGCCACACUGGAACUGAGACACGGUCCAGACUCCUACGGGAGGCAGCAGUAGGGAAUCUUACGCAAUGGGCGAAAGCUUGACGGAGCAAAGCCGCGUGAGUGAUGAAGGUCUUCGGAUCGUAAAACUCUGUUAUUAGGGAAGAACAAAUGUGUAAGUAACUAUGCACGUCUUGACGGUACCUAAUCAGAAAGCCACGGCUAACUACGUG